AUUGAACGCUGGCGGCAGGCCUAACACAUGCAAGUCGAGCGGAUGAAGGGAGCUUGCUCCUGGAUUCAGCGGCGGACGGGUGGGUAAUUCCUAGGAAUCUGCCUGGUAGUGGGGGAUAACGUCCGGAAACGGGCGCUAAUACCGCAUACGUCCUGAGGGAGAAAGGGGGGGAUCUUCGGACCUCACGCUAUCAGAUGAGCCUAGGUCGGAUUAUCUAGUUGGUGGGGUAAAGGCCUACCAAGGCGACGAUCCGUAACUGGUCUGAGAGGAUGAUCAGUCAAACUGGAACUGAGACACGGUCCAGACUCCUACGGGAGGCAGCAGUGGGGAAUAUUGGACAAUGGGCGAAAGCCUGAUCCAGCCAUGCCGCGUGUGUGAAGAAGGUCUUCGGAUUGUAAAGCCCUUUAAGUUGGGAGGAAGGGCAGUAAGUUAAUACCUUGCUGUUUUGACGUUACCAACAGAAUAAGCACCGGCUAACUUCGUG
rnacentral:rRNA from 1 species